rnacentral:misc_RNA from 1 species
CUGGGUUUUUGGGCUCUGCCCGCCACCCGCCCUCUGUUAUCUGUGACUUGUUUCGGCCCCCUCAAAAGGGCCGGCAGCAACUCUGAAGCAUCUUGAAGUCUGAUACACUGUCAAUAAAAA